rnacentral:rRNA from 1 species
CCUGGUUGAUCCUGCCAGUAGUCAUAUGCUUGUCUCAAAGAUUAAGCCAUGCAUGUGUAAGCACACACUGUUUUAAAAGUGAAGCCGCGAAUGGCUCAUUACAACAGCCACAGUUUAUUAGAACUUACAUACAUGGAUAACUGUGGUAAUUCUAGAGCUAAUACAUGCUAAAAAUCCCGACUGUUUGGAAGGGAUGUAUUUAUUAGAUAAAAAAUCAAUGCUUUUCGGAGCUCUUUGAUGAUUCAUAAUAACUUUUCGAAUCGCAUGGCCUUGUGCUGGCGAUGGUUCAUUCAAAUUUCUGCCCUAUCAACUUUCGAUGGUAGGAUAGUGGCCUACCAUGGUUUCAACGGGUAACGGGGAAUAAGGGUUCGAUUCCGGAGAGGGAGCCUGAGAAACGGCUACCACAUCCAAGGAAGGCAGCAGGCGCGCAAAUUACCCACUCCCAGCUUGGGGAGGUAGUGACGAAAAAUAACGAGACGAUUCUCGUUUGAGAAACGUUAUCGAAAUGAGUACGCUUUACACACGCUAACGAGUAGCAAUUGGAGGGCAAGUCUGGUGCCAGCAGCCGCGGUAAUUCCAGCUCCAAUAGCGUAUAUUAAAGUUGCUGCGGUUAAAACGCUCGUAGUUGAAUUGUGGUCUUAGACAACAGUCCCCCUAUAUAGGUGUGGCACGGUUGCUCGAGAUCUUCAUUCGUGGUUGCUGUUGUUGCUCUUCAUUGAGUGUCAAUGGUGCCUCGAGAUUUUACUUUGAAAAAAUUAGAGUGCUCAAAGCAGGUUGUGAUGCCUGAAUAAUGGUGCAUGGAAUAAUAGAAUACGAUCUCGGUUCUAUUUUGUUGGUUUUCGAACCGGAGAUAAUGAUUGAAAGGAACAGACGGGGGCAUUCGUAUUGCUGCGUUAGAGGUGAAAUUCUUGGAUCGCAGCAAGAUGAACAAUUGCGAAAGCAUUUGCCAAGAAUGUUUUCAUUAAUCAAGAACGAAAGUUAGAGGUUCGAAGGCGAUCAGAUACCGCCCUAGUUCUAACGGUAAACUAUGCCAACCAGCGAUUCGCCGAAGUUCAUUUAAGACUCGGCGAGCAGCUUCCGGGAAACCAAAGUGUUUCGGUUCCGGGGGAAGUAUGGUUGCAAAGCUGAAACUUAAAGGAAUUGACGGAAGGGCACCACCAGGAGUGGAGCCUGCGGCUUAAUUUGACCCAACACGGGAAAACUCACCCGGCCCGGACACUGAAAGGAUUGACAGAUUGACAGCUCUUUCUUGAUUCAGUGGGUAGUGGUGCAUGGCCGUUCUUAGUUGGUGGAGCGAUUUGUCUGGUUAAUUCCGAUAACGAACGAGACUCUACCCUAUUAAAUAGUGACAGUAUUGCAUAUUCUGUGCUGAUCACUUCUUAGAGGGACUGGCAAAUUGAAAGCUGCACGAAAAAGAGCAAUAACAGGUCUGUGAUGCCCUUAGACGUUCUGGGCCGCACGCGCGCUACACUGACGGAGCCAACGAGUAUUAACCUUGGCCGAGAGGUCUGGGAAAUCUUGUGAAACUCCGUCGUGCUGGGGAUAGAGCAUUGUAAUUAUUGCUCUUCAACGAGGAAUUCCUAGUAAGCGCAAGUCAUCAGCUUGCGUUGAUUACGUCCCUGCCCUUUGUACACACCGCCCGUCGCUACUACCGAUUGGAUGAUUUAGUGAGGUGUUUUGACUAGCGCCUGUAGUCGGAUGUAUAUUCGGCUUCGCGCCGGGAAAUUUCCCAAACCAAAUCAUCUAGAGGAAGUAAAAGUCGUAACAAGGUUUCCGUAGGUGAACCUGCGGAAGGAUCA